UACGAGGGGGGCAAAUGUUGUUCGGAAUCACUGGGCGUAAAGGGAGCGUAGGCGGGUUUCUAAGUCAGGUGUUUAAUCCCGGGGCCCAACCCCGGACAGGCACUUGAAACUGAGAAUCUUGAAUAGUGGAGAGGUCAGUGGAAUUGGGGGUGUAGCGGUGGAAUGCGUAGAGAUCCCCAAGAACACCAGUUGCGAAGGCGGCUGACUGGACACAUAUUGACGCUGAGGCUCGAAAGCAUGGGGAGCAAACAGG
rnacentral:rRNA from 1 species